CAGGGGAGAGUCUGGCUCCGAACCAAGACUCUGCUACCAACCAAAGGGACAAGGAAGGGCGUUUGGUGUCUCCAGUUUGGGCCUCAGUCUGUCGCUUUUCCCAUUAGGAAGAGCCUGGGCACCAUUCAUUCAUGAUGUCUCAGGAGGAGGCAUUGUAGAUAGUGGGUGGUCCGUGGGGGACACGAUCCUGGCUGGUGAGCGAUGGGGCAGCCACCACGAACAUCCUGUGCCGACCUCCGCCCCCACGCUUUAUUUUGUUCACUCCUAGGGCACCUAGGGCAUCAUCGCACGUAUCUCCUUGAACGUCAAUUCUUUCCCCAAAUUUUGAGAGCAAGGACUUGUGUCUAAUUCAUGUUUGAAUUGCCCAGCACAGCGCCUGGCGCACAGAAGACACGAGAGAAUGGAGAAGGGGGGCUGCCGGUGGGGGGGGGGCUUGGCGCCCCUGGGGGAGCCCCUGGAGAGCACGUAGCUGUGUGGGGAGGGGGGACACUCCCAGGGCUGGGAUGGGGACACUGCCAGCGCUCUCUCCCUGGUUUCUAACUUCACCAACCUUGACUCCACGGCCUGAGAAAUCCCAGCCUUGCCCCCUUCUCCAGCCCCAGCGGGCACCCAGGCUUUCCCAGCUAAUGCUGCACCUUUCUCCUUGGGAGGUAGUAGAAUUUAGGGCCAGGAAUGAAGAAAGAACGGGGGGAUUACUCGCUCUUUGAAAUGCAGCUGCCUGGGGCCAGGUUCGGUUUGGAAUGGGUAGGAGGGGUGAUGUGUGUGACCCUGCAGUUGGGAGACAGUUGUCCCUGCAGGAAGGCCGGCCACGGAAGCGCCUGACCCCUGUUAUUUCAGCAGGAUUGAGGGGAAGCACCUGUGGUCCUUCCCUCCGCUUGGCCCCUACAGGAGUCAGAAGCCUUCUCCGCCUCACUCCUGCUGCUGUGCCUGGACUGUCUCUCUAGCACCUUGAAGCAGAAGGUUAUUCAUAUCAUGGACGACUGUGGCUGCUCUCUGUGUGGUGAGCUAUGGUGCUCUACAGACCGGUCACCUCCGACACGACUGAAGACCCGAAGGGACACGUGCUCUGGCGGCUCCCACCUGCUUCAGAGAAGGACCGAGCCUUGAUUCUCAGAGGAGCAAAAGCGUACGCAGGCAGUCUGGAACAAUCAUUGCCACUUUUCCACUUCCAUGUUGGUGACAUCAGGUAACAGAUACAUGGGACAUAAUUAAAAAUAAACGAGAAAAAGGUUUCCAUGGUUCACGAAAGCAGUAGGAGUAUUGUGAGGAAAGCUUAGAAGCAUUUAUCUGCUGCUACCCAAAAUUUAGCAUUUGACUUUAAUUAUGCCUCCUUAGGAAUUAAGCAAAGCAGAAAAUGUUUCAACACGACCAGCUGCUGCAGAUCCAAACUGUUUCACGGGUGAACUUUUUAUUUCAUCUUUUCUGUUGCUUUUUGAUCAGGCAAUAAACCCCACUCGUAACAGACUAAAGGUCAUAAAAAUUAUAAUGACAUUAGCCAGCUAACCCAUUUUUCCCAAACCCUCUUAAAACACCUAGGACCAAAGCAUGCUACUAUAGUCAUAAACCAGAGUCGUCUGGGGAAGAGGCAGGCCCCACCCUCUCCUCUUUCAGAGUCCCUGUGGGUCAGAAGCCGAAUCUUUAUGCCAUAGUUAAGGUUAUGGCUGCGUUUUUCAUACGUAUUACCAAGGUGUCAGAUACUGGGCCAGAAGGAGGUGCCCUCGCAUAACCCUUCUCCGGUUACCCCUGCUCAAAGAGGAGAGAUUGGAGAGUGGAGAUCGUGUGGGUUAACUUAAAAGACAAGAGGUGAGCACAUUCCUGGCACACAGAGGGAGAUGGACCUGUCACCUGUGCGUGACGGAUAGCAUUACAACUGGCUCAUUUAGAGCAUUAGGAAGACGUGGGCCUGCCCAUUUGAAGCUUCCGUUCCAACAAAGGAGAGCUCAUGAUGGCAUAUGAGGAAUGCACAGAUCACUCACCAUGAGGGCAGAAGGUAGGACAGAGUCUAAUACGAUGAGCAGGUUAUUAGCUGGAUUAGCCAAUUUCCCAUGUUGAAAGAAAAAAAAAAAUGACUUCAGGAAAUGAAAUAAAACAGAAAUUCCUACCCUACUCUUUCCACGGCAUCAAUAGCAAUUUGGAAACGGAGUUGAGUUUUGCCAAUUUAAAACACAGUAGAAGUCAACCGACUUGGCCUGUUUAAUGGAAAUGACCAGAAGAACGAACAUGGCUGAAGAGCCAUCCAGUAACCAUCAGUCAGACAGCCUGAAUCUCUGCACUAACUCUGAUCCAGUUUAGUCACUCACUGCUGUGGGCAGGGAUCCAAGAAAAAAAUUCACAGGGGCUGAAAGAAGGGGGCCCAGGGUAACAGCCUCUAAAAAUGACAACUUGCCCCGAAGCUUGAAACCGACUCAAACCUCCCCAGAUCCAUCUGGCACAACCAGCACAUCUGACAGCAGCCCACGGUCUCCAAACGUGAAUCGGCUGCAGAGGACUGGCACGCCAGCCUGAAUGACUCUGCUCCGCGUCACUCGCUAGAUUGCCAAACUUAGGCACGAGCGCAUCCAUCCACCUUCCCAGAGCCUUCUAGAAUCUGUCUCCGGUGUCACGGGUUGCCUACCGCCUGUCACUUGGCCUGCUUUCAGGAACCCGAACGUCCACUCAGUGCACAGAAGCAGACCACACGUCCACCUCAGCCACAGGCUCGUCUCUCCCGUCACGGAUGGCGCGGGCUGACCCGGGAGACCUGGCACUAAAACACCAACACCGAAAUCCAGGGGCAGCCCGUGUGUUUGGGGUGGCA